GAUGAGACCGGCGCACGGGUGCGUAACGCGUAUGCAAUCUACCUUUUACAGAGGGAUAGCCCAGAGAAAUUUGGAUUAAUACUUCAUAGUAUAUAUCAUUCGCAUGUUUGGUAUAUUAAAGUUCCAACGGUAAAAGAUGAGCAUGCGUCCCAUUAGUUAGUUGGUAAGGUAACGGCUUACCAAGACGAUGAUGGGUAGGGGUCCUGAGAGGGAGAUCCCCCACACUGGUACUGAGACACGGACCAGACUCCUACGGGAGGCAGCAGUGAGGAAUAUUGGUCAAUGGACGCAAGUCUGAACCAGCCAUGCCGCGUGCAGGAAGACGGUCCUAUGGAUUGUAAACUGCUUUUGUACGGGAAGAAACACUCCUACGUGUAGGAGCCUGACGGUACCGUAAGAAUAAGGAUCGGCUAACUCCGUGCCAGCAGCCGCGGUAAUACGGAGGAUCCAAGCGUUAUCCGGAAUCAUUGGGUUUAAAGGGUCCGUAGGCGGUUUAAUAAGUCAGUGGUGAAAUCUGGUCGCUCAACGAUCAAACUGCCAUUGAUACUGUUAGACUUGAAUUACUGUGAAGUAACUAGAAUAUGUAGUGUAGCGGUGAAAUGCUUAGAUAUUACAUGGAAUACCAAUUGCGAAGGCAGGUUACUAACAGUUGAUUGACGCUGAUGGACGAAAGCGUGGGGAGCGAACAGGAUUAGAUACCCUGGUAGUCCACGCCGUAAACGAUGGAUACUAGUUGUUUGGAGCAAUCUGAGUGACUAAGCGAAAGUGAUAAGUUCCCACC
rnacentral:rRNA from 1 species